ACGCUGGCGGCAGGCCUAACACAUGCAAGUCGAGCGGAAACGACACUAUCGAUCCUUCGGAUGCGUUAAUGGGCGUCGAGCGGCGGACGGGUGAGUAAUGCCUAGGAAAUUGCCUUGAUGUGGGGGAUAACCAUUGGAAACGAUGGCUAAUACCGCAUAAUGCCUACGGGCCAAAGAGGGGGACCUUCGGACCUCUCGCGUCAAGAUAUGCCUAGGUGGGAUUAGCUAGUUGGUGAGGUAAUGGCUCACCAAGGCGACGAUCCCUAGCUGGUCUGAGAGGAUGAUCAGCCACACUGGAACUGAGACACGGUCCAGACUCCUACGGGAGGCAGCAGUGGGGAAUAUUGCACAAUGGGCGAAAGCCUGAUGCAGCCAUGCCGCGUGUAUGAAGAAGGCCUUCGGGUUGUAAAGUACUUUCAGUUGUGAGGAAGGGGGUAACGUUAAUAGCGUUAUCUCUUGACGUUAGCAACAGAAGAAGCACCGGCUAACUCCGUGCCAGCAGCCGCGGUAAUACGGAGGGUGCGAGCGUUAAUCGGAAUUACUGGGCGUAAAGCGCAUGCAGGUGGUUCAUUAAGUCAGAUGUGAAAGCCCGGGGCUCAACCUCGGAACUGCAUUUGAAACUGGUGAACUAGAGUGCUGUAGAGGGGGGUAGAAUUUCAGGUGUAGCGGUGAAAUGCGUAGAGAUCUGAAGGAAUACCAGUGGCGAAGGCGGCCCCCUGGACA
rnacentral:rRNA from 2 species